rnacentral:lncRNA from 9 species
GCAGUUGCAAGCGUUGGGGGACAGCUGGUGCGCCCCGAUUAAACCGAUUCAUUUUGCCCGGCGCGGCAGGGCACCGAAGGGCCUCUGGCUGGUGACUGGCACUCUGCGGGGCGCCCGGAACCAAUUUCCGGAGGGUGAUGGAUUUCUUCUCCUUGGCUGCUCUCAAGCUGCGCUUCCUUCUGUGGCGGGGAGCAAAGCACUUUCAGAAGAGCCCGUCUCCUGGGACUGACCCCCGGGGAGGGGGCUUCGGAAGGAAACAUCCGGGCCAGGCCCACCUGUGAGUGACGGCAGGUGGAAGAAAUGAACACAUCCCUCCCCUCCGGACCCCGCCGGCCGGAACCAGGGGAUGUUGGACGUGGCUCCUCCCCUCUUAAUAUAAAAGACGCCUGACCUCUAACGCAGAUCAAUUGGUCACGUCUCCCUCAGAGGCCUUCCUGGACCAGUUGGGCGGCGGGAGCAUCUUCUGACCUUGAGAAGCGGGCUGAGGGACUAGAGCCUGUCUGGGCUGAUCCCAGGAGAGGCGCAACAGCUGGCGCCUGACUGCCUGCACCUGCUGGGGGGUGGGGGCGGGUGGACGCUGGAGACGGAUCUGGGGACACUUAAUGGGGUAGAGAGCACUCCACAGCCUUUUAAGGGGAGGAGGUGACAGGGCUGAUGGAAGUGAUUUCCAAUCUGAACAAGGCCAGACGUGACCACCGUUUGGAGGUGGCAGCCCGCAAACCCAGCACGGAGGGUCCGAAGUGAACGCGAAUCCCCCUAAAACCAAGUCCCUCUGCGGAGUUUAUGAUUCCAACACCUGUUCCCCUCAACACGGAGGCGCAUCAAAGAAAAGGGGGCGUGGAAACCAAGCAGGACCAAGCCUUUCUGUGUCCCCCGUUCCUGGAUUGCAGGGACAAGGCUUCAGCCUCCAAGACCUUCCCUGAGUUCCAAAGAGCAGAUUCAAACCAUUAGUAAUUAGGCCAGGAAGGGGAUGCUGAAGCGAUGGAGGAGCCCCCAAGAAACAAUAAAGCAGCAUUAAAGCA